UGGUGGAGCGAUUUGUCUGGUUAAUUCCGUUAACGAACGAGACCUCGGCCUGCUAAAUAGCCACGCCUGCCUUCCCGCAAGGGCCCGGCAGGCGGACGCGCUUCUUAGAGGGACCGCCCGAACGCAGCGGACGGAAGCCCGAGGCAAUAACA
rnacentral:rRNA from 1 species